rnacentral:rRNA from 1 species
UACAGAGGUCUCAAGCGUUGUUCGGAUUCAUUGGGCGUAAAGGGUGCGUAGGCGGCGCGGUAAGUCGGGUGUGAAAUCUUGGAGCUUAACUCCGAAACUGCAUUCGUAUACUGCCUGUGCCUUGAGGACUGGAGAGGAGACUGGAAUUUACGGUGUAGCGGUGAAAUGCGUAGAUAUCGUAAGGAAGACCAGUGGCGAAGGCGGGUCUCUGGACAGUUCCUGACGCUGAGGCACGAAGGCCAGGGGAGCAAACGGG